rnacentral:rRNA from 1 species
UACGGGGGGGGCAAGCGUUGUUCGGAAUUACUGGGCGUAAAGGGCUCGUAGGUGGCCAACUAAGUCGGACGUGAAAUCCCUCAGCUUAACUGGGGAACUGCGUCCGAUACUGGAUGGCUUGAGUUUGGGAGAGGGAUGCGGAAUUCCAGGUGUAGCGGUGAAAUGCGUAGAUAUCUGGAGGAACACCGGUGGCGAAGGCGGCAUCCUGGACCAACACUGACACUGAGGAGCGAGAGCCAGGGGAGCAAACGGG